AGAGUUUGAUCCUGGCUCAGGACGAACGCUGGCGGUGUGCUUCACACAUGCAAGUCGAACGGAGUAGCAAUACUUAGUGGCGGACGGGUGAGUAACGCGUGGGAAUCUGCCUUUAGAUGGGGGAUAACGAGCCGAAAGGUUCGCUAAUACCGCAUAUGCCGCAAGGUGAAAGGAGUAAUCCGUCUAAAGAUGAGCCCGCGUCCGAUUAGCUAGUUGGUGGGGUAAAGGCCUACCAAGGCGACGAUCGGUAGCUGGUCUGAGAGGAUGAUCAGCCACAAUGGGACUGAGACACGGCCCAUACUCCUACGGGAGGCAGCAGUGGGGAAUUUUACGCAAUGGGGGAAACCCUGACGUAGCGACACCGCGUGAGCGAAGAAGCCCCUUGGGGUGUAAAGCUCUGUCAGCUGGAACGAAACAAAUGACGGUACCAGCAGAGGAAGCAUCGGCUAACUACGUGCCAGCAGCCGCGGUAAGACGUAGGAUGCGAGCGUUGUCCGGAUUUAUUGGGCGUAAAGAGUUCGUAGGUGGUUUGUUAAGUUUGAUGUUAAAGAUCGGGGCUCAACCUCGGGACAGCAUUGAAUACUGGCAGACUUGAGUAUGGUAGAGGCUAGUGGAAUUCCCAGUGUAGCGGUGAAAUGCGUAGA
rnacentral:rRNA from 1 species